rnacentral:rRNA from 1 species
AGGUGCUGCAUGGCUGUCGUCAGCUCGUGUCGUGAGAUGUUGGGUUAAGUCCCGCAACGAGCGCAACCCCCGUCUUCAGUUGCCAGCGGUUUCGGCCGGGAACUCUGAAGAGACUGUCGGCGUCAAGCCGGAGGAAGGUGGGGAUGACGUCAAGUCCGCAUGGCCUUUAUGGGCUGGGCUACACACGUGCUACAAUGGCGGUGACAGUGGGCUGCAAUGGAGCAAUCCGGAGCCAAUCCUCAAAAGCCGUCCCAGUUCGGAUUGCGCCCUGCAACUCGGGCGCAUGAAGUCGGAAUCGCUAGUAAUCGCGGAUCAGAAUGCCGCGGUGAAUACGUUCUCGGGCCUUGUACACACCGCCCGUCACACCAUGGGAGUUGACUCUACCCGAAGAUGGUGCGCGAACCGAGAGGGCGCAGCCAGCCACGGUAGGGCCAGCGACUGGGGUGAAGUCGUAACAAGGUAGCCGUAGGGGAACCUGCGGCUGGAUCACCUCCUUU